CCCAGUGUGAUUCGUCACACUAUCAUUAACUGAAUCCAUAGGUUAAUGAGGCGAACCGGGGGAACUGAAACAUCUAAGUACCCCGAGGAAAAGAAAUCAACCGAGAUUCCCCCAGUAGCGGCGAGCGAACGGGGAGCAGCCCAGAGCCUGAAUCAGUGUGUGUGUUAGUGGAAGCGUCUGGAAAGGCGCGCGAUACAGGGUGACAGCCCCGUACACAAAAAUGCACAUGCUGUGAGCUCGAUGAGUAGGGCGGGACACGUGGUAUCCUGUCUGAAUAUGGGGGGACCAUCCUCCAAGGCUAAAUACUCCUGACUGACCGAUAGUGAACCAGUACCGUGAGGGAAAGGCGAAAAGAACCCCGGCGAGGGGAGUGAAAAAGAACCUGAAACCGUGU
rnacentral:rRNA from 1 species